rnacentral:rRNA from 1 species
GAUGAACGCUGACAGAAUGCUUAACACAUGCAAGUCAACUUGAAUUUGGGUUUUUAACUUCGGUUUGGGUGGCGGACGGGUGAGUAACGCGUAAAGAACUUGCCUCACAGCUAGGGACGACAUUUGGAAACGAAUGCUAAUACCUAAUAUUAUGAUAAUAGGGCAUCCUAUAAUUAUGAAAGCUAUAAGCGCUGUGAGAGAGCUUUGCGUCCCAUUAGCUAGUUGGAGAGGUAACGGCUCACCAAGGCGAUGAUGGGUAGCCGGCCUGAGAGGGUGAUCGGCCACAAGGGGACUGAGACACGGCCCUUACUCCUACGGGAGGCAGCAGUGGGGAAUAUUGGACAAUGGACCAAGAGUCUGAUCCAGCAAUUCUGUGUGCACGAUGAAGUUUUUCGGAAUGUAAAGUGCUUUCAGUUGGGAAGAAAGAAAUGACGGUACCAACAGAAGAAGUGACGGCUAAAUACGUG